rnacentral:rRNA from 1 species
CGAACGGACGAGAAGCUUGCUUCUCUGAUGUUAGCGGCGGACGGGUGAGUAACACGUGGAUAACCUACCUAUAAGACUGGGAUAACUUCGGGAAACCGGAGCUAAUACCGGAUAAUAUUUUGAACCGCAUGGUUCAAAAGUGAAAGGCGGUCUUGCUGUCACUUAUAGAUGGAUCCGCGCUGCAUUAGCUAGUUGGUAAGGUAACGGCUUACCAAGGCAACGAUGCAUAGCCGACCUGAGAGGGUGAUCGGCCACACUGGAACUGAGACACGGUCCAGACUCCUACGGGAGGC